rnacentral:rRNA from 1 species
AACGAACGCUGGCGGCAUGCCUAACAUAUGCAAGUCGAACGAGACCUUCGGGUCUAGUGGCGCACGGGUGCGUAACGCGUGGGAACCUGCCCUUAGGUUCGGAAUAACUCCCCGAAAGGGGUGCUAAUACCGGAUAAUGUCUUCGGACCAAAGAUUUAUCGCCUUUGGAUGGGCCCGCGUUGGAUUAGCUAGUUGGUAGGGUAAAAGCCUACCAAGGCGACGAUCCAUAGCUGGUCUGAGAGGAUGAUCAGCCACACUGGGACUGAGACACGGCCCAGACUCCUACGGGAGGCAGCAGUGGGGAAUAUUAGACAAUGGGCGAAAGCCUGAUCCAGCAAUGCCGCGUGAGUGAUGAAGGCCUUAGGGUUGUAAAGCUCUUUUACCCGGGAUGAUAAUGACAGUACCGGGAGAAUAAGCUCCGGCUAACUCCGUG